rnacentral:rRNA from 1 species
UACGUAGGGUGCAAGCGUUGUCCGGAAUUAUUGGGCGUAAAGAGCUCGUAGGCGGUUUGUCGCGUCGAAUGUGAAAUCCCGGGGCUCAACCCCGGGUCUGCAUUCGAUACGGGCAGACUAGAGUUCGGUAGGGGAGUCUGGAAUUCCUGGUGUAGCGGUGAAAUGCGCAGAUAUCGGGAGGAACACCGGUGGCGAAGGCGGGACUCUGGGCCGAUACUGACGCUGAGGAGCGAAAGCGUGGGGAGCAAACAGG